UUUACUAUAGUAACACUUAAUUUUAUUUCAAGUUUUACUGCCACAGUUAAAGGUUUUUACAAUAGCAGAUGCCUUCCCUCCCACACAUCAAUUAAUUUGCAAAUUCACUCAAGGUUGUAGAAAUAAUGAGGUGUGGAGAGAGUUCGUUCCACUGGUGGGCACUGCCAUCAGAAGGUGGAUGUGGUAGGCGAGGCGCUAAGCUUGGCCGCUGCUAGCUGCAUGCCAUGGGAGCCUGGGCACGGGGGACGGCUCUGCCACAAGCCCACGAGCCGAGCCCACCUUGGCUUGUUUGACCACUUAUAUGCUUGAAGGAGUUGACUAUAGAGAGGAGUUUUGUCCUGCACAGGAUCCAGGCUUAACAGCCCACUGUUAUGAAGAGGAUGGUUCUCAGAUGGCUUGCCUACCAGAUUGCUCAGACGUUCCAGCUCACUGA
rnacentral:lncRNA from 1 species